GGUGGGGUGGCCGAGCGGUUUAAGGCGCACGGUUGCUAACCGUGUGUGCAUUGCACUCGAGGGUUCGAAUCCCUCCCCUACCG
rnacentral:tRNA from 1 species